rnacentral:rRNA from 1 species
AUGGGUGCCCUCGAGAAAUCCAUCAGAGGUUUCGCGGAAAGAGAAGGUGAUGAGGUGGUGAAGCCUGAACUUGGGACGACAUUCGACUCACUGACAGAAGCGUAUGACUUCUACAAUUUGUAUUCGUGGGAGAAUGGGUUCGGCAUCAGAUACGGCAAGAGCAGACUAAAUCCAGACAAGAGAAAAACAAUGCAAGCGAUUGUGUGUGGAUGCUCGGGGAAACCAUUGAGGGAGAACUCACGGUCGUGUCGAUGUGAGUGCCCUGCUAUGAUUAGGUUGUUAAGGACGUCCGACAAUGGGUGGUAUAUUACUGAGCAUAGAGUUAAGCACAACCAUGUGUUGACUCCAAAUUGUGGGGAGAUGUUGCACUGGCCUUCUCAUAAACACAUAUACGUGUACACUAGGGACCUGGUUCGGAACCUAAGGAAGAACAACAUCAACCUAAGCAAGGUGUACAACAUCAUCGGGGGGUUCUUUGGGGCGGUCGAGAAUGUACCUUUCACGAAGAGAUCUCUGAGGCACCUGUGUGGGCAGAUCAGCCGGGAGGAAGCUGACGAUGAUGUUCGGAAAACAAUUGAGGCGGAUGAACAGAGCAAAAUAAGGAAUCUAAUGUGGGUAAGUGGAGAUAGUCGAUUGAAGUACAAUUUUUUUGGGGAUGUCGUGACGUUCGACACAACGUACAGGACUAACCUGUACGAUAUGCCGUUUGGUCUAUUCGUUGGGGUGAACAACCACUACCAGAGCAUACUCCUAGGAGGGGUGCUGUUGAGAGAUGAAUAGGUUGAGAGCUUUAAGUGUGUGUUCACAGAGUUUGUGAGGAUGAUGGGCGGUGUGGCACCCCAAACCAUACUUACAUAUCAGUGUUGGGCUAUGGAGGUCGCUAUUAAGAAUGUACUUCCCAACACGAUGCAUCGGUGGUGUAAGUGGCAUGUGUUGAAGAAAGCCAAGGAAAGUUUGGGCGCAAUGUUUGCGAAAAGAAAUGAGUUUAGGCAGGAAUUUCAUAAAGUGGUGGACCACAUGCUCACGGUAGAGGAGUUUGAGGAGGCUUGGUCACAACUGCUGGAGAAGCACAAUCUGAAAACACACCCGUAUAUGACAAAUCUAUUUGAGAUCAGAGAAAAAUGGGCAAAGCCGUACUUCAAGGGUGUUUUCUGCGCCAAGAUGCACAAGUUCGUGAGGCAAUACAUGAGGUUGCAGUUUGACCGUGCAUCGGACGAAAGUUAUGAGGAAAAGCGAACAAAGCUGGGCGGUGUGGUGUUGCGAACGAACUCUUCAAUAGAGAUAGAUGCAAGUAAGAUAUACAGGCGGGCAAUGUUCGAGCAGUUCGGACAAAUCCUGUACGAGGCUGGAGGCUAUUGAGUAAAAGAGGUCGAGAAGAACUCACUGUACAAGGCGAUGCACACCAGGCCAGAGAAGCGAGAGAGGUGGAGCAGAGUAAUUUUCAUGGUGAAAAUGCUAAGCGGCGGUGAGGAGUUUCAGUGCGAAUGUGGAUUGUUCGAGCACAUGGGCAUGCUGUGCUGCCAUGUUCUGAAGGUAGUAACAUAA